UACGUAGGUGGCAAGCGUUGUCCGGAAUUAUUGGGCGUAAAGCGCGCGCAGGUGGUUUCUUAAGUCUGAUGUGAAAGCCCACGGCUCAACCGUGGAGGGUCAUUGGAAACUGGGGAACUUGAGUGCAGAAGAGGAAAGUGGAAUUCCAAGUGUAGCGGUGAAAUGCGUAGAGAUUUGGAGGAACACCAGUGGCGAAGGCGGCUGCCUGGCCCAAUACUGACACUCAGGUGCGACAGCGUGGGGAGCAAACAGG
rnacentral:rRNA from 1 species